UGAUAGUGAUGAGGACAACUUCUGAGCAUGCCCUUGAAUCUUUUCCAAGCUUGGUAGAGAUUUUCUUUAUCUUUCUAUUUGAAACUUAAUAUCUCACUCCUUAAUCA
rnacentral:snoRNA from 1 species